GAAAUCACUCCAGUUCAAAGGAAGUGGCUGUCCUACUCAACUCUGGGUGUCAUGCUGUUUCUGUUGGAAUUACAUCCAAACUUCAGAUGCUGGUAGACCCUGAGCCUGGCUGCAGGUGGUGGCUGCAUUCCGUGGUGGAAUAAGAAUGACGUCUCCCUGCAGACCAUUGCACUGACUGCAGCCUUACCUCGCCUGAAGCCUUGGGGAAAAGAUACACAAAAACCCCUCCAACAUCCAGAUGGUGCAUUGAGAGGUUGGAGUGAGGAGAAGCUCUGGAGUUCCCUGCCUGCACAGAAGCAGCCAGAGCCACUUCCAAAAGCUACACAAAAGAGCCUCUGUCACUGCUGA
rnacentral:lncRNA from 1 species